rnacentral:rRNA from 1 species
CCUACGGGUGGCUGCAGUGAGGAAUAUUGGUCAAUGGACGAGAGUCUGAACCAGCCAAGUAGCGUGAAGGAUGACUGCCCUAUGGGUUGUAAACUUCUUUUAUAUGGGAAUAAAAUGUUCCACGUGUGGGAUUUUGUAUGUACCAUAUGAAUAAGGAUCGGCUAACUCCGUGCCAGCAGCCGCGGUAAUACGGAGGAUCCGAGCGUUAUCCGGAUUUAUGGGGUUUAAAGGGAGCGUAGAUGGGUUGUUAAGUCAGUUGUGAAAGUUUGCGGCUCAACCGUAAAAUUGCAAUUGAUACUGGCAGGCUUGAGUACAGUUGAGGUAGGCGGAAUUCGUGGUGUAGCGGUGAAAUGCUUAGAUAUCACGAAGAACUCCGAUUGUGAAGGCGGCUUACUAAACUGACACUGACAUUGAUGCUCGAAAGUGUGGGUAUCAAACAGGAUUAGAUACCCCUGUAGUC